CACACUCUAUUAAUACUAAUACUACUACAACUAACAUCGAAACUUCAUCUACAAUUACAGCUGAGCCAACAACACACUCUAUUAAUACUAAUACUACUACAACUAACAUCGAAACUUCCUCUACAAUUACAGCUGAGCCAACAACAUACUUUGUUAAUACUAAUACUACUACAACUAACAUCGAAACUUCCCCUACAAUUACAGCUGAGCCAAGGACAUACACUAUUAAUACUAAUACUACUACAACUAACAUUGACACAUCAUCUACAAUUACAGAUGAGCCAACAACAUACCCUACUACUACUACUACUAGUACUACUACAACUAACUUCAAAACUCCAUCUACAAUUACAAAAACAUACUCUACUACUACUAUAACUAACACCACAACAUCAUCAUCAUCAUCAUCAUCAUCUACUAUUACAACAACAACUCAGACCACAUCAUCUAUUUCUCCUGUAAUAAAUGGGACCAUAAUUCCAACUUCUCCGAUAAUAAAAAAUGAGACCACAAUACCCUCUACAUCCACAGUAACUACCUCUCCUUUACCAAGUAGAGCCACAACUCAAUCUACUACUGAAAUAAGAGCACAUGUGAGCACAUCAUCUUCAGCGACUACUAAGCCAGCAUCAUCUACCUGGGCCAGCUCAGCUACAACAACUAACAGAGCAUUCAGUACUUUAAAACCUGGUAGUACUGGUGGCACCAUAAGUACACGAUACUCCACCGUCCCUGUAUGGAAUACAACAGGCACCGUUGUGUGGAGUGUCACCAUGAAAAGCUCCCUGCCCCCAGCCACAAGUAUGGAUCUCCUCAUAAUGGAGACGUGUGUAAUGCUCUACACGGAGCUCCACAGAAAAGAUAUCAUACUGACAUAUGGAAAAAGCAGGACGUCAGUGCAAUGUACGUCAGUCCUUGGGAUCAGAUCGUAGUCUGGACCCUUAUAUACCCCUCAGGAGCACACAGUGUGAAACCUCUUGGACUGUAAUAUUGAAUUAUUGGAUUUCUAUAGAGCGUUAAAUGUCUAUGUGAAUUCCUGAAGUAACUUUAAAACAGACCUCUGUGUUAUUUACUGUUCUGUUGAGGUUACCAGUAU